AGAAAAAGGGCUAGAACAGGCCAGAGAGGCUGCACAGACCAGCAGCCAAUCAGCAAGGGUCUGUGGAGAGCCAAUCAGGCCAAAGGAAGAGGCAGCCAAUCAGGGCUAGGCUGGGUCCUAUAUAAAGGCUGUCUGGCAAAGGAGAGAGCAAUUGCUCCCUGACUAGCAAGGGAGGAGGACUGGUUCCUGAGGUAAAGAGGUAGCAUCUUGACAGAGCAGUACUGGGCAGGCUCAGAGGAGCAGAGGAGAACUCCGAUCCAGAUACCUGCCAGGCUGCGGCCCCUGCUAAGAAGGGCUGAGAAGGUGCACAGGGCCAAAGGGGUAGGGCCCAGGGAAGAUAGGCAGACAAGAGAGGAGGGCAGAGAGAGGCUGCUGUUAGAGGAUCCCUGGGCCAGAACCCAGACUAGAGGGUGGGCCUGGGUCCCCCCUUGCACUGUACCUAGCCACAGAGGAGUGUGGCCAAGACAGACUGUAACUUGCUCCUGAGGUGAGAGGCUAGACUUUGGGGUUGUGGUUGGCCACUGAGGCAGGUGCAAGCCAAAGGACUGUUGUUACCCCUCCCCCCCACCCACGAAGGGGGUGAGAACGUAGUUGGGACAUUGCCAGGGGCAGUGUCCUGAAGCGGACACCACUGAGCAGGGAGCAAGGCGGUUCCUGAGAGGCAGAGAAGACAAUGGGCGAGACACCAUAUGCAGAGGGUGCGCUGCAGGGAACGAGCUAAUUCCCAGAGCAGCCAGCAGGAGGCGCCAGCAGUGAGAACCUUCCACUGAUACUGAGUCAGCUCUUGGAUUGUGGAGCAUAGCUAAGGAAGAGAUAUCUGGAGAGAGCUAUCCUUGUACCCUGGUGAUCUUUAGCUGCCACAACAUCCCCUUACAGUGUUUAAUGCAUAAGCCCUGGUAGUGAGUGAGAACCCGGACCAAUCAUUACAGCCAGUUCCCUGGAGCCUUGGGGAAGACUAUGACCCUGAGGAAGGAACAUCCUGAGCAACAUGGCUGCCAACCCCCCACCACCACCACCAGGGAAACAAGAGGUAGGACCAGUGGACUAUGAGAUAAGACUACCUGGAAGGAGAAAAGAAACCAAGAUUCAUCAUAUGAAAUUUCUCAGAGUGGAAGAUGCAGGAGGCCCUGCUGAUAACUCCCCCUCUGGAACCUGAAUUAGGCCCCCAAGUACCCAGUGGCCAAGAGCUGAUAACAAUACUGGGGGGGAAGAGGGCUGUGCAAAGGAAGCAGCUCCUUCAAAUGAUUGAGAACUUUGUGACUGUAUUCUGCACCCACCUAGGGAGAACUCACUUUUGUCCAACAUCUUAGAGACCACCUUAGGCCAACUAGUCAGGGAGAACCCUAGAUCACUGCCCACAAGGGAUGUGGGAUACAGUCCAAGAGGAAGUGCAAGUGAUGCUAGAGAUGGGGGCAAUUGUAGAAUUCAAAAGUGAAUGGAGAAGCCCUAUAGUUAUCAUUCCCAAACUGGACAGUUCAAUUUGUUUUUGCAUUGACCUUGUGAGUGUUAAUUCCAUCUCAAAAUUUGAUGCUUACCCAAUGCCAAGGGUAGACAAGUUACUAGAGUGGCUGGGAUUGGUGAAGCACCUGAGCACUAUCAACUGAACAGAAGGUUAUUUGGCAGAUUCCUUUAUUCCCUGUCUUGCAAGGAAAAAACCAAACUUCUCCACCCCCUUGGGGCACUUUGAAUUCAAGGCUCAAUGCCUUUUAGCCUUCAUGGAGCUGCUGCAACUUUCCAGUGCUUAUAAAUAGGAUCCUCCGCCCUCACCAUCAACAUGCUAGAGACUAUAUAGAUGACAUCAACAUCUAUAGUCCCACCUAGGAAGAUCACCUACAGCACUUAAAGGCAGUGUUAAAAGCCCUCUAGGAUGCAGCCCUCUAUGGCCAACCCUGAAAAAUAUAGGUUAGCCAUUGAUAAAACAACCUAUUUGGGGUACCAUGUAGGAGGCAGUCUUAUGAAACCAGCAGUUAACAAGGUACAGGCCCUAAUAGCAUGCUCUAAUCCCCAGACAGAGGCAAGUGAGGCAUUUUCUCAACCUGGCAGGAUAUUACUGGACAUUUGUCUCUGGUUUCACUGCAAUUGCCCCCAGUUCAGACCUCAUAAAAGGCAAAAACUCUAAGAGGAUCCAAUGGGAUGAGAAAUGCAAGGAAGCUUUUAGUGAGCUGAAAACUGUGCCAGGUGCCCGUGCUCUUCAGCCCCACUUUUUCCUGGGAAUUCAUACUGCACACAGACUCCUCGGAUGUCUGACGUGGUGUCAUACUCUCACACAACUUUGGAGGUGGAGAACACCCAAUCCUGUAUCUGUGUACGAAGCUGUUUCCUGGAGAAAAAUCUUAAUCAAUUAUUAAAGAGGCAUUAGUGAUUAAAUAGGCUGUAGAUUCCCUCAGGGUAGCCCCUUCUCUCUAGUCACAUAUCAUGCUCCCCUAAGCUGAAUCCAUACCAUGAAAGGCACAAGCCCACGUAUAAUGAGUUGGUACCUUGUACUGUAAAACAAUAGGGUUGUAGUACCACCCUGGGUGGGAAAGGACACUGAUUUAUUUUCACGGGAGUUCGGAAAUGAAGACAAGCCAUCGCAGAACAGCCUUUCCAGCUAGAGGGAUGGGGUAUGUGAAGGGCCACGCUCUCACUCUGCGGGAGAGGAAGCUAACAAGUUCUUCUGGGCCUCUUCAGCUCUAACAAAGGUAUGUUCUGCCUGGAGAGAGAGGAGCUUAAAAAGGAAAAACCUGGAACAGGAAAGGGUGGUGAAUAGAAGGUGCUCAAUAUCAGAAAGUGGCUGACCUGUCUCUGCUGUCAGCAAGAGGAAAACAGUCACAGGCUUCACCACUUCUGAAGCUGCAAAGCAGUAUGUCCCAAGAGGAAGUGCUGGAGGUAGACCCCACUAAAAGACAACAAAUACUCUGAUAGACCAAGCACAAAGAGCUGAAUCCAGAAUCCAGAGCUGCCUUAGACAGGCUACCUUUGCCUUUCUUAGUUUUUCCUCUCCCAUAAGGGAAAGAGGUGGGAGAGGACCCUUCUUUUGUCUGAUUGUUUUACUCAGAGAAUCCCUCAUAUGCUACAGACUUGGGGUGAUGACAUUAUAAAUGACUGGAAACUGGGACUCGAGGGAGCCCAUGCCCCCCCCCACAGCCCCACCACAAGUCGUAUUCUAGUCUCUGGUCUCAGCCUAGCCCCCUUAAUAUCCUUUGGGCUACCAUUCCUGGCUGACAGAUUUGUCUAAUCAUGUCUCCAGUAGCACCUAUCCAUGGCCUGUGCCCAGUGGGCACCUUCACAUGCAUAUGAGCUCAGCAUAAAGCCACCUCUGAUAUAAGACAAGUUCAGAACAUUCCCCACCCUCGCCUUGCAGUUGCUCUAUGCAGUCUGCUCACCUCACAGAGGUCAGCAGCACAGAGAAUACUGUGAAUCAGGUCCACCAAAUGGGCCUUACUUCCCAAUUUUUUUUUCAUGUGUCUGUUACUUUGUUGCCUAUAAAAAAAAAAGUCAUUUCAUUUUCUAAAUCUAGUGGAAAUUAAUACAAAUAUUCUAAACAAAAAAGAAAGAGUUGAUUCUUUCAAAAGCUCUUACAUUAGACAAGCAGUACUUCUGGCUCAUUCAGACACCGCUUGUUAGAAUGUAUCCUGGUCACCAAAGAGCUUCAGGCCAAGCAAGCAAUCUUCUGCUCUUCCUGCUUUGCUGCCUACAUGUGUCCUGCUCAAUUAAUAAACUGUAUGUUAUUUUUCCCUUUGCUCUCCCUUCAUGUGUUGGCACUAAAAUUGAA